UAUGUUUGUUCUUAAUGUUGGU
rnacentral:siRNA from 1 species